CACAUGCAAGUCGAGCGGCAGCGGGAAAGUAGCUUGCUACUUUUGCCGGCGAGCGGCGGACGGGUGAGUAAUGCCUGGGAAAUUGCCCAGUCGAGGGGGAUAACAGUUGGAAACGACUGCUAAUACCGCAUACGCCCUACGGGGGAAAGCAGGGGACCUUCGGGCCUUGCGCGAUUGGAUAUGCCCAGGUGGGAUUAGCUUGUUGGUGAGGUAAUGGCUCACCAAGGCGACGAUCCGUAACUGGUCUGAGAGGAUGAUCAGUCACACUGGAACUGAGACACGGUCCAGACUCCUACGGGAGGCAGCAGUGGGGAGUAUUGGACAAUGGGCGAAAGCCUGAUCCAGCCAUGCCGCGUGUGUGAAGAAGGUCUUCGGAUUGUAAAGCACUUUAAGUUGGGAGGAAGGGCAGUAAGUUAAUACCUUGCUGUUUUGACGUUACCGACAGAAUAAGCACCGGCUAACUCUGUGCCAGCAGCCGCGGUAAUACAGAGGGUGCAAGCGUUAAUCGGAAUUACUGGGCGUAAAGCGCGCGUAGGUGGUUCGUUAAGUUGGAUGUGAAAGCCCCGGGCUCAACCUGGGAACUGCAUCCAAAACUGGCGAGCUAGAGUACGGUAGAGGGUGGUGGAAUUUCCUGUGCAGCGGUGAAAUGCGUAGAUAUAGGAAGGAACACCAGUGGCGAAGGCGACCACCUGGACUGAUACUGACACUGAGGUGCGAAAGCGUGGGGAGCAAACAGGAUUAGAUACCCUGGUAGUCCACGCCGUAAACGAUGUCAACUAGCCGUUGGAAUCCUUGAGAUUUUAGUGGCGCAGCUAACGCAUUAAGUUGACCGCCUGGGGAGUACGGCCGCAAGGUUAAAACUCAAAUGAAUUGACGG
rnacentral:rRNA from 1 species